rnacentral:rRNA from 1 species
UACGUAGGGGGCAAGCGUUGUCCGGAUUUAUUGGGCGUAAAGAGCGCGCAGGCGGUCGUUCAAGUCGAGUGUGAAAGCCCCCGGCUCAACUGGGGAGGGUCACGCGAUACUGAUCGACUCGAAGGCAGGAGAGGGUAGUGGAAUUCCCGGUGUAGUGGUGAAAUGUGUAGAUAUCGGGAGGAACACCAGUGGCGAAGGCGACUACCUGGCCUGUUCUUGACGCUGAGGCGCGAAAGCUAGGGGAGCAAACGGG